CAAGGAAGGCCAAGAAAGAUCGCACCUAGAGUCAGCCAGUGCCUUCACCUUAGUUUCACAUUUCUAGCCUCCAGAACGCUCCCUGGAGGCAAGGAUCACGUUGACAUUGUUCUCCACGGUGUCUGUGCCCAGUGCCGGGACAGAGGGGACUGAGCCAGUUUUGUGGCAGGAGGAGAAGAAGCCCAAGCUCUAAGUCCACCAUUCAAAGAUGCCUCCUUGGGUCUACCCAGAGCAUCCCAUAAUUUGGUACUUUGGGGGGAAGCUACAGUCCGACAAUUAGAGGUGUCUUCUAAGACAGAAGAGACCAAGGAGACUACCAGGAAACAAGCCCCUAAAAAAGGAGAGACUGAAUCACUGGAGGCGAUGCUGACCCAAGCACCUGCACUAUAGGCUGCCAUGAUCCGAGCAGCCUCCUCCACCAUACACACGAUUCUUGCCUCACCACAGGCUCAGAAGCAACUGGGUCAACCAUAAACUGAAAUAUCGGAAUCAGUGACCUCAAAUAAAUCUUUCUUCCUUGCAGGAAGAAUAGCACGAGCAGAAAUAGAAUGGAUAUCUGGAUAUCUGCUACUGUCCUGCUGAUACCUGGAUAUAUUUGCAGCUGUGAAUAAUGUAUAAAUAAAAAUUGA